GCCAGCAGCCGCGGUAAUACCCGUCGCCCGAGUGGUGACCAUUAUUAUUGAGUCUAAAGCGUUCGUAGCUGGUCUGAAUAGUUCGUGCUUAAAUCGUUCAGUUUAACUGGACGACAUGGUAUGAAUACUUUCAGACUAGAAGCCGGGAGGGGGAAUGGGAACUUUCUAGGUAGGAGUAAAAUCCUUUAAUCUGGAAAAGACCACCAGUGGCGAAGGCGCAUUCCCAGAACGGACCCGACGGUGAGGGACGAAGGCUAGGAGAACGAACCGGAUUAGAUACCCGGGUAGCCCUAGCAGUAAACGCUGCUUACUAUACGUUGCAUUUCCUUGAGGAAAUGCAGUGUGACAGCGAAGGCGUUAAGUAAGCCACUUGGGGAGUAUAAUCGCAAGGUCGAAACUUAAAGGAAUUGGCGGGGGAGCACAAAAACGGGUGAAAUUUGCGGUUCAAUUGGAUUCAACUCCGGGAAUCUUACCAGAAGCGACAGCAAGAUGAAGGCCAGUCUAAAGAACUUGCCUAAUGCGCUGAAAGGUGUUGCAUGGCCAUCAUCAGUUAGUAUCUUGAGACGUCCCGUUAAGUCGGGUAACUAACAAGACCCUCUUCCAUAUUUGCUAACGUGUAAUCCGUUAUGAACGAGCAAAAUAUGGAGACUGCUUUCGAAAGA
rnacentral:rRNA from 1 species